GAUGAAGAACGUAGCGAAAUGCGAUAAGUAGUGUGAAUUGCAGAAUUCAGUGAAUCAUCGAAUCUUUGAACGCACAUUGCGCCCCUUGGUAUUCCAUGGGGCAUGCCUGUUCGAGCGUCAUUUGUACCUUCAAGCUUUGCUUGGUGUUGGGUGUUUGUCUCGCCUUUGCGUGUAGACUCGCCUUAAAAUAAUUGGCAGCCGGUGUAUUGAUUUCGGAGCGCAGUACAUCUCGCGCUUUGCACUCAUAACGACAGCGUCCAAAAGUACAUUUUACACUCUUGACCUCGGAUCAGGUAGGGAUACCCGCUGAACUUAAGCAUAUCAUAAGCGGAGGA
rnacentral:misc_RNA from 1 species